AAGAGGGCGUGGCCAGGAAAAGGAUGCGCUGGGUGGCUGAACCACCGGCUUUGUGGUAGGUCUCUCGGCGGGCUGUUAAAGGCUGAUAUAGGCUCCCCUAGCUCCUGGUUGUGGGGCCUGCGUUAGCAGAGGACCUGGCGAGCGCUGAGUCCGGUCUCAGAGAAGAUAAGCCAGUGAAGACUAUGGCUUCCACUCACUCCUUUCUGCCUCCUGGUGUUUACCCACGUGUCCCUGCAUGAUGUGGUGAGCCUCCUCCUACUUACACUGGGAAAUUUGAUAUUGUGUCCAGAAUUGGUGGGUUCUUGGUCUCACUGACUUCAAGAAUGAAGCUGCGGACCCUCACGGACUGCUUGUAAAACCAUUUCCUCUUUGGAAGCCUUAUGCAAACUGUAAGUAAUUUCACAGUAAGUAUGAUACUAGCCAUAAGUUUUUACAGAUGAUUUUUAUUGGAAUGAGGAAAUUAUUGUCUAUAACUAGAUUAUCAAGAAUGUUGAAUUUUGCCAAGUAGUUUUACUGCAUCUAUUCAAACAAUGAGAUGUUCUUUAUUUGGAUUAUUUUGUUAAGAUGGUGAAAUACACUGGUUGGACUUUAAUUGUUAAAACAUUUUCUUUUUAUUCUCAGAAUAAAACUCAGUUGGUCAUUGUUGAGAAAAAUGUUAAUAUCGUAGGCCUAGAUAUUAGAAAGGCUUGCUUGCAAGUUUGGCCAUUGGAUGGUGUCUGGUAACUUGGAUUUUGGGAGACUUCUCCCCAGACUAACUGAUAAGAGUGGCUUACUGUGCUUAAACUGGUUUAUACUGAACACCUACUUUACUUUCGGGGGACUGGAAUUUUGGUAUGCCCUAGGCAGAAAGUCACCACAUAAUCAACCUCUAAUAAACACUGAGUCUUUAAAGAAAUUGUCUGGUAGAAAACAUUUCACACAUUUUGUUACAGCUUGUUGCUGCAAGAAGUGCGUGCAUCCUAUGUGACUCUCCCAGGAGAAGACUUGGAAACUUAUUCCUGGUUCCCUCCAUACCUUUUCUCUUUGCUGAUUUUGCUUUAUAUCAUUUCAUUUUAUUACAUCUUAGCCAUGAAUACAACGUCUAUAUCCUGAGUCAGUCCUGUAAGUCCUUCUAGUGAAUCACCAAGGCUGGUUUUUGGACUUGGGGACACUUAGCACAGUCAUGAUAAAUUACCCUUUUGUUUACUUGAUUUUAUUUACUUGAUUUUGUUGGCUAAUGUUUUAAUGAUUUUCGUGCCUGCAUUCAUGAGGUAUAUUGAUCUUUAGUUUUCUUUUCUAAUAAUAUCUUUGAUAGAUUUUGAUAUCAGGGAUUUGCUAGUCUCAUAAAAUGAGUUGAGGAACAUUUCUUUCUCCUGUUUUUGAAAGAAUUUAUGUAAAUUAGGUAUUAUUUCUUUAACUAUGUCAGAAGUCACUAGUGAAAACAUUGGAGUCUUUUUGUGGAGGGGAGUUAAAUUACAUAUACAUAAUAUAACAUAUAACCUUUAAAAGUUCAAUUUUUAACAGAUUUUGGGCUGUUUGUAUGUUUGUAUAUCUCAAUUCAUUCUUAUAUUAGUUUUUGUAAGUUGUAUUUUUCAAGUAAUUUUUUUAUUGAGUCUGAAUUUUCAAAUUUAUUGGCAUAAAGUUGCUCUCAUUUUUUUUUCUUUUUUUUGAGACAGUUUCACUCUCGUUGCCCAGGCUACAGUGCAGUGGCAUGAUCUCUGCUCACUGCAACCUCCACCACCCUGGGUCAAGUGAUUCUCCUGCCUCAGCCUCCCAAGUAGCUGGGAUUACAGGUGCGCGCUACCACGCCUGGCUACUUUUGUAUUUUUAGCAGAGACGGGGUUUUACCAUGUUGGUCAGGCUGGUCUCAGACUCCUGACCUCAGGUGAUCCGCUCGCCUUGGUCUCCCAAAGUGCUGGGAUUACAGGCGUGAGUCACCGUGCAUGACCAGCUUGCUCUCAUUUUCUAUUAGUAUUAUUUCACUUUCAGUAGGGCCGGUAGUGCUGUUAUGGGCGUGUCUUUGCGUCCAGAGCUCCCAAGAUGGCGGCAAGCCUCUUGCUCUCUGACCUGGGGUUCUUGGCCUCACGGAUUCCAAGGAAGGGAACCUUGGGCCACGCGGUGAUCCGUACAGUUCUGUUAGAAGCCCUGGGUUACGGAAGAGAAGCGUGGAAACCAGCUACUAGCGUUCAGUUAGAUUAGGACCAACCCCGGCACUUAGCUGCACAGGAACAAUGGCGAGCCUCUCUGGGCGCCUCACUGGAUCAGAAGGGCAGAGGACACCCUGCUGGAUCUGGAGGAGCGGAAGUCAAUGGCGGGUCUGCGAGGGCGGCGUUGAGCGGUGGUGGACGGAGGGCGUUGAGCGGUGGUGGACGGAGGGCGUUGAGCGGUGGUGGACGGCCUUCGGCGGUGGUGGACAGACGGCCUUUGGCGGUGGUGGACGGACGGCCUUCAGCGGUGGUGAACGAGUCUCACUCUUGUCACCAGGCUGGAGUGCAUUGGCGCGAUCUUGGCUCACUGCAACCUCUGCCUCCCGGGUUCAAGCGAUUCUCCUGCCUCAGCCUCCCGAGUAGCUGGAACUACAGGUGCUGGACAAAGAUCAGACCAGAUGUGAGGAAUGCUGAAAAGGAAAGGGUAGCAUUUGAUGAAUUUGGUGAUUGUAUACAGUAUGUAACCACAAUCAAGACAUAAAAGAGUUCCUUCAUCCUGAAAUCUUCCUCCUGCCCUUUGAAGAAAAAGUUUGCUGGCUCUCAAAGAGUAAUUUGAAGUAGAGAAUCUCCUGGUCAAGUUAAUUCUACUUUAGGGAAAGAUAUUUGGAAAAAAUUUGGUAGGAUGUGUGUCAUUGACAUGGAGACCACAACUGAAAGAUCUGGGCGAAAGUUUGCAAUCUUUAGUCUAGGCCCAAGAAAGAAUGGAGAUUGAUCUGACCAACCCUUAUUGAGGAGAUUUGAAGGCUAUAUGGUUUGAGGAGCUCAAGAAGAAAGUAUACCAUCAAGAAAGGUUGGCACACUCAGACUAGGAGAAAAGACAAGGAAUAGUAAGUUCUGAUGUCAGACAUUUAUAUUGGCUUUACAAGCUGUGCCUCAAGGUGGCAGGGCUUUGUAUGCCAAUGACUGGAGGAGGUGGGACAGCUGUGGUUUGGAGAACAUUGGUGGGGGAGCCACACCGCUGAGAUCCUGAGAGUCAUUAUUGGGAAGGAGAUCUCUAUAGUCAACAGAAGCAACAGUUCCUAGAAAUUAUGGAGAACUAUAAUCUAACGGUGCUGCUGGACAGCAAAAAAUGCCAUGAUAUUUGUCAAGAUCAGUUUCAUUAUCCAAUAACGUCACCUUUGUUGUCCCAAAUUCUACUUUCUAAGGUUCCAGGUUUGAUAUUAUUUAAAAAUAACAAAGCAAAGAAAACAUUAACAAUAUAUCAUGCCUUAUGUAUUUUGGGGCAUUCUAUAUGUGCUGUAGUAGAAAUCAAGGAAUGUAAAUUAAGAUAUUAUAGUUUUCAUCUAGAAUUUAGCAAAAGACAAAAAAUGAAUGAGACAGUAGUGUAUAACAUUUAGAGUCACCAGUUUUGGCUACAAAUACCAAUUCUGCUGCCUUCUUCUUUUGUGUCCUUCAGCAAGCAAUGUAACCUCUCUGAGCCUCAGUUUCCUUAUUGGUAAAGUAAAACUAAUAAUCAAACCUACUUCAUAGGGUUGUUAGAAGGAUCAGUUAAAGCAGUGCAUGUAAAGUGCUUACAACAGUGUCUGGGACAUGGUAACAGCUUGUUGAAUGCUAGCUCUAAUGACAUGAUUACUAAUUAAUGUGAAGAAAUUGUUCAGGAUAGUGGCAAGGUGGUAGGGCAAGAUGAGGUGGCUUUGAGGAAUCUGAUAGUGAAGCUGGCAGCAUGGGAGUGACAUUGGUAUGGCCCAGCAAGAGUAUGGACAAGAGGCAUUUCAGAGGAGACAAAGCCAAAAAGAUAGUAAAGUGCAUCUGAUUCCAUAAGCACAAGUGAGCCCAAUGAAUUAACACAGUAGGUGCAAGGAGUGAACAUAAAUAAUGCUACCAGACCACAGUGAAUCUAUAAAGAGAUUUUCAUCUCAGGGACAAUCUCUGUGACCUUCAGGUCAUCCUGUUCUCAGAAGCAGCAUCGUGCCAUUUCUUCCGAGGAUUAAAAUUUUCACAUUGGCCUGUCACUUGCUUACAUCUUGAGAAGACAAUACAUUUGACAUAUGCCAUUCUCGGUGUAGAGACUUGCUGCUGGGCACAACUUUCCCCCAGACAGCUUGUAAUGUAUGUUUUGCUUUUGUUAAUGUUUCUGUUAAGUUAGUUUAAAACAGCUAAAAUUUCAGAGCUAAAGCAUAAUGUUGGAGCUAUAUAUGAAGACUGAGACUUUUAUAGACAAUUCUUUGCUACAUUUCUGAAUAAAGUUAUAAGGUAUAAAAAUGUGUUUUAUUCCACUGUAGAAAAAUUUAAGCUUGAUUACAAAAGUACAUAUGGUUAUUUUUAAAUUCAGUGAAUGUAUUUCUGCUACAUUUCUGAAUAAAGUUAUAAGGUAUAAAAAUGUGUUUUAUUCCACUGUAGAAAAAUUUAAGCUUGAUUACAAAAG